AGUUUCGGUCGAUAUAUGCACAUUGUAAGAGAACCUUUCGUUUAGACAACAUCUGUUUUGUUUUGUCUUGGAUUUUUCCAAAGUUAAAUUUUUGUGUAAGAUGUAAAACAUCAAAUUUUGUGAAAAUCCUAAUUCCAAUGAUGGAAAAAAUGAUCUUCGACACACACCCAAAUGGCUUGCUUGCACUCCGCGGACUUGACGAUACAAAAUAACAAUUUACAUCCGAUUUGUACACCGUUUGCACAAUUUGUCAGCACAACUUUAAAUAAGACCCAAUACUAACGACUUGUUCAUACUCCCAAAAUCCUGGUUGCCCAUACGUUGGAAUUAGGAAAUCGCCUUUAUCGCAUAUUAAUAAUACAAGGCUAUUACAAACUACACUUCAAGUUAAAUAGGCCGUCUCUCCCAGUGGUAUAAUCUCGCGGUCACAUCACUACGUGAAAUACGAUACAGCUUAGCGAAAUGUCAAUUUAUUUCUAGUUUACAAAUAACUAAUGUGUAUGUAUGCAGUA